rnacentral:lncRNA from 1 species
AUGUAUUAGGCAUUUUGCUGCAAAGAAAAUGAAAUAAAGAUGUUUUAUUAUGUACAUUAGUUAAUGAGGCACAGGAAAGGAAUGUUAAGAAAAGCAGGAAUGUUUAUCUAGUUCAUGGUCCAUGAUAACCACAGAUUGCUGCAUUUGUAGCCACAUGAGUCAUUCAAAAGUGAUAUGAACAUGCAUACAUAACAAUUCUUCUGCUUUUAAUGAAACAUAAGAAACUGUCAAGCUUUGGAAAUUAGAAACAAACAUAUUCAAUGCUUUUUGAAAAAUCAGGCCUUAUUUAAAAAGAAAAAUGUUCUAUCAUCAAAUGUAUUAUGCAUUUAUUUUUUAUCAUUUGAAAUAAUAGCUUAUAAAUAACAUUGGUCCAGAACUAAUAAAUGAAUUUUUACAAGAGCUCUCUCUCCCUUAAAUAGGUUUAAAUUUGCUUUUCAAAAUAAACAGCAAAUUUCCUGGAUGUAAGGAAGAGAAAGGAGUUUCCAGAAUUAAAAUCCAAUUGCUUUUCUGUUCUAUUUUCUUUCUUUUUUUUUUUCAGUAAGAACACAAGGUGAGAUCUAUCUUAACAAAUUGUUCAGUGUACACUGCAGUAUUGUUGACUAUAGGUGCAAUAUUGUACCACAAAUCUCUAGAGCUUAUUCACCUGACUUCACUGAAACUUUAUGCCUAUUGAUUAGUAACUCCCCACUCCCCUCAGCCCCUGGCCACCAUCAUUUCACUCUUUGGUUCUAUGAAGUUGACUAUUUUAAAUAUCCCACAUAAAUUGAAUCCUGCCAUAUUAGUCUUUCUGUUAAUAGUUUAUUUCACUUAGCGUAAUGUCCUUAAGAUUUAUCCAUGUUGUUGAAUAAUUGCAGAAUUUCCUUCUUUUUAAAAGCUAAAUAGUAUUCCAUUGUAUGUGUAUAUACAUUUUCUUUAUUCAUUUCUCCGCCGAUGGACGCUUAGAUUGUUUGUGUAUCUUGGAUAUUGUGAAUAAUGCGGCAAUGAACCUGCAAAUGCUAAUACCUCUUUGGGAUCCUGAUUUCAAUUUUUUUGGAUAAAUAUCCAGAAAUAGGGUUGCUAGGUCACAUGGCAGUUCUAUUUUUACAUUUUUUAGGAACACCCAUACUGUUUUCCUUAGUGGCUGCACCAUUUUGCAUUCCCAUCAACAGUAUGCAAGGGUUCCAAUUUGUCCACUUCUUCACCAAUAUUUGUUGUGUUUUGGUUCUUCAAUGAUAGCCAUCCUGACAGGUGAGAGUUGAUAUCUCACGGUGGUUUUGAUUUGCAUUGCCCUGAUGAUCAGUGAUGAUGAGCACCUUUUAUCCUCUGGGAGCCUCCCAUUUCCUCUCAUUGAUGAGAAUUUGCCCAUGAGAGGUUAAUAUCCCUAUACUCUCGCAAUGUGUCAACUAGCUUCUUUCAUUGCUGUUCAAGAUGCCAGAGCCCAUGCUAUUCAGAUCCUUGGCCCAUUUGUAAAAAUUGGGUUUUUUUUUUUUUGCUAUUGAGUUAUGAAUUCCUUACAUAUUUUAGAUGUCAACCCUUAUCACAUACAUCGCUUGCAAAUACUUUCUCCCAUUUCAUAGGUUUUCUUUUCACUCUGUUGAUUGUUGCCUUUGCUGUGAGAAGCUUUGUGAUUUGAUGUAACUUUGCUUAUUUUUGUUUUUGUUGCCUGUGUUUUGGGGGUCAUAUCCAUGAAAUCAUUGACAAGACCAAUGUCAAAGAGCUUUUCGCCUAUGUUUUCUUCUAGGAGUUUUACAGCUUCAGAUUUUAUGUUUAAAUCUUUAAUCCAUUUUGAGUUGGGUUUUGUAUGUGAUGUAAGAUAAAAGUCCAGUUUCCCCCUUUUGCACAUGGAUAUCUGAUUUUCUCAAUACCAUGUGUUGAAGAGACUAUCCUUUCCCCAUUAUGUAUUCUUGGCACCAUUGUUGAAGAUCAGUUGACAAUAUACAUGUGAAUCUAUUUCUGGACUCUCUAUUCUGUUCCAUUCACAUAUAUGUCUAUCUGUUGGCCAGUAACAUACUGUUUUGAUUACUGUAGUUUUGUUAUACAUUCUGAAAUCAAGCAAUGUGAUGCCUCUAUCUUUGUUCUUCUUUCUCAAGAUUGAUAUGGCUAUUCAUGGUCUUUUGUGGUUUCAUAUGGACUGUAGAAUUGUUUUGUCCCUGUCUUCAGAUGACAUCGUCUCAUAUAUAGAACGCCCUAAGACUCCAUUUUUUAAACAUGUUAGAAUAAAGGAAUUCAAUAAAGUUGCAUAAUACAAAAUCAACAUACAAAAAUCAGUUGCGAUUUCUAUACAUUAACACAGAACUAUCUAAAAAGGAAAUUAGCGAAACAAUCCCAUAUAUAAUAGCACCCAAAAUAAUAAAAUACUUGGGAAUAAACUUAACUAAGGAGGUGAAAGACUUGUAUACUGAAAACUACAAAAUACUGAUGAAAUAAAUUAAAGAAGACACAAACAAAUGGAAAGACAUUUCAUUCCUGGGCUGUAAGACUUAAUAUUGCUAUUCUCCUUUUAUAGAAAAAUAAACAAACUCAAGUAUGCAGAGUUAAGUUAAUCAUAAUCUUUGAUUCAUUAUACAUCAUCAUCAGUCCACACAUAUCCCUCUUUUAUUUCAUUUCAUUUUGAAAAUAAUAAAAGGAACACCCCAUGUACCCAUUAUCCUAACCAAGAACUAGAAUAUUACUCAUCAGUCACAAAUCUUGUAUGCUUCCCCACAUUUUCUCAGCACCACCUACGUCUUAGACCUCAGCCAUUUGCCUUGCCUUAGCCCCAGCCUGUGCCUGACCAACUCACCUAGGCUACCAAGUUCCCUUCUAGGCUGAUUAGAGUUGGUUAUCCCCUUGACUGUCAACUCUGCAGCUGGGCCAACCAUACACACCCAGAGUUCCUAGUUCCUCCUGCCCUUUAUGGACUCUGACAAAAGGCCACACUGCAGGGCAUAGGCUUGGCAUCUUGAACAGCAACAAAAGAAGGUAACACAUUGUGAAAGUAUAGGGACAUUAACUUCUCAUGGAAAAAUUCUCACUAUUAGGAGACAGGAAAUGGGAGGCUCCCAGAGGAUAAAUUUCUUCUUCCCUUCCUCUCGUCUCUGGACUAUACCUUACAGCUUUCCAGAGAAGUUUCACUGAGUGGGACACAAUUGCCUAGUGCCCCGUUGUGUCUCUGUUUGGCUCAUUUUGAAGUGAUAGUCAGCAAGGCUGUGCAUCAUUUUGUGUAUUAGUUUGUUGGGGCUGCCAUAACAAAAUACCACAGACUGGGUAGCUUAAACAACAGAAAUGUGUCUUCUCACAGCUCUGCAGGUGGAAGACUGAUCAAGGUGUCAGCAGCACUGGUUUCUUCUGAGGCUUUUUUUUUUUUUUUUUUUUGAGAUGGAG